CCAACAGGGAUUGCCCCAGUAACGGCGAGUGAAGCGGCAACAGCUCAAAUUUGAAAUCUGGCCCCAGGCCCGAGUUGUAAUUUGCAGAGGAUGCUUCGGGCGCGACGCCUUCCAAGUCCCCUGGAACGGGGCGCCUUAGAGGGUGAGAGCCCCGUACGGUUGGACGUCAAGCCUGUGUGAAGCUCCUUCGACGAGUCGAGUAGUUUGGGAAUGCUGCUCAAAAUGGGAGGUAGACCCCUUCUAAAGCUAAAUACCGGCCAGAGACCGAUAGCGCACAAGUAGAGUGAUCGAAAGAUGAAAAGCACUUUGAAAAGAGGGUUAAACAGCACGUGAAAUUGUUGAAAGGGAAGCGCUCGUGACCAGACUUGCGCCGGGGCGAUCAUCUGGCGUUCUCGCCGGUGCACUCGCCCCGGCUCAGGCCAGCGUCGGUUCGGGAGGGGGGACAAAGGCGUCGGGGAUGUGGCUCCCUCGGGAGUGUUAUAGCCCGGCGUGCAAUGCCCCCGCCCGGACCGAGGUUCGCGCUCUGCAAGGACGCUGGCGUAAUGGUCACCAGCGGCCCGUCUUGAAACACGGACCAAGGAGUCGAGGUUCUGCGCGAGUGUUUGGGUGUCAAACCCGCACGCGUAAUGAAAGUGAACGUAGGUGGGAGCCUCGGCGCACCACCGACCGAUCCUGAUGUUCUCGGAUGGAUUUGAGUAGGAGCGUAGGGCCUCGGACCCGAAAGAUGGUGAACUAUGCUUGGAUAGGGUGAAGCCAGAGGAAACUCUGGUGGAGGCUCGCAGCGGUUCUGACGUGCAAAUCGAUCGUCAAAUCUGAGCAUGGGGGGCGAAAGACUAAUCGAACCAU
rnacentral:rRNA from 2 species